UCUAGAUUAGAGUUUGAUCCUGGCUCAGAUUGAACGCUGGCGGCAGGCCUAACACAUGCAAGUCGAACGGUAACAGGAAGCAGCUUGCUGCUUUGCUGACGAGUGGCGGACGGGUGAGUAAUGUCUGGGAAACUGCCUGAUGGAGGGGGAUAACUACUGGAAACGGUAGCUAAUACCGCAUAACGUCGCAAGACCAAAGAGGGGGACCUUCGGGCCUCUUGCCAUCGGAUGUGCCCAGAUGGGAUUAGCUAGUAGGUGGGGUAACGGCUCACCUAGGCGACGAUCCCUAGCUGGUCUGAGAGGAUGACCAGCCACACUGGAACUGAGACACGGUCCAGACUCCUACGGGAGGCAGCAGUGGGGAAUAUUGCACAAUGGGCGCAAGCCUGAUGCAGCCAUGCCGCGUGUAUGAAGAAGGCCUUCGGGUUGUAAAGUACUUUCAGCGGGGAGGAAGGCGAUAAGGUUAAUAACCUUGUCGAUUGACGUUACCCGCAGAAGAAGCACCGGCUAACUCCGUGCCAGCAGCCGCGGUAAUACGGAGGGUGCAAGCGUUAAUCGGAAUUACUGGGCGUAAAGCGCACGCAGGCGGUCUGUCAAGUCGGAUGUGAAAUCCCCGGGCUCAACCUGGGAACUGCAUUCGAAACUGGCAGGCUAGAGUCUUGUAGAGGGGGGUAGAAUUUCCAGGUGUAGCGGUGAAAUGCGUAGAGAUCUGGAGGAAUACCGGUGGCGAAGGCGGCCCCCUGGACAAAGACUGACGCUCAGGUGCGAAAGCGUGGGGAGCAAACAGGAUUAGAUACCCUGGUAGUCCACGCCGUAAACGAUGUCGACUUGGAGGUUGUGCCCUUGAGGCGUGGCUUCCGGAGCUAACGCGUUAAGUCGACCGCCUGGGGGAGUACGGCCGCAAAGGUUAAAACUCAAAUGAAAUUGACGGGGGCCCGCACAAGCGGUGGAGCAUGUGGUUUAAUUCGAUGCAACGCGAAGAACCUUACCUACUCUUGACAUCCAGAGAACUUAGCAGAGAUGCUUUGGUGCCUUCGGGAACUCUGAGACAGGUGCUGCAUGGCUGUCGUCAGCUCGUGUUGUGAAAUGUUGGGUUAAGUCCCGCAACGAGCGCAACCCUUAUCCUUUGUUGCCAGCGGUCCGGCCGGGAACUCAAAGGAGACUGCCAGUGAUAAACUGGAGGAAGGUGGGGAUGACGUCAAGUCAUCAUGGCCCUUACGAGUAGGGCUACACACGUGCUACAAUGGCGCAUACAAAGAGAAGCGACCUCGCGAGAGCAAGCGGACCUCAUAAAGUGCGUCGUAGUCCGGAUUGGAGUCUGCAACUCGACUCCAUGAAGUCGGAAUCGCUAGUAAUCGUAGAUCAGAAUGCUACGGUGAAUACGUUCCCGGGCCUUGUACACACCGCCCGUCACACCAUGGGAGUGGGUUGCAAAAGAAGUAGGUAGCUUAACCUUCGGGAGGGCGCUUACCACUUUGUGAUUCAUGACUGGGGUGAAGUCGUAACAAGGUAACCGUA
rnacentral:rRNA from 1 species